UCUGCCGGUGAAUCAACUAACAUUGCCCAAUUAUAACUAAUUCACUAAAAAAAAAGCCCAAGUUUCGGCAUUAUAGUAGAUAAAUAAUUAUAUAUGUGAAAAAAUUACGCCGAGUACCGUCAUUAAGAAUUGUUUCAGCGUAUUUACAUCCGAUAUCCGCUCUAUAUUACCACGCACAUAUAAAUUAAGCAAAUACGCUACUAAUGCACCAUCACAAAGCAUCUCGGCAGCAUAAAUCUACGAUUUAAAAAAAGAGUUGUUCUGACCGGCCACAAGUGCUCAACGGCAAUAUAAUCGGCACGACCAGACCAGAACGAUAUACAAGUCAACAAUGUCUACGUUACACCAUGCGCCUCAAACUAUCUUCGUUAUUGAUUCCUGCAAAUUAGAUACCUUCAUGAUCCUCCUAUUACUUUAGCAUCAAGCGUUGUAUUUAGCGUGUUAGUAUGACCUCUCUUUGCCUUAAAGUAUAGAACGCCUUUGAGCACAUGUUUGAUGUAUUGCUUGGGUAAGCGUCCAUCCGUCUGAACAGAUUUCCCCCA